CAAACAAGCGGGACCAGGAUAAUAGCCAGCUACUAAUACUAGUGAUGGCGCUCAUGAAGAACGCAAUGGCAUUGUGCUUCAUAGCCCUUAUUCUCAUGCCUACCACUUUCUCAUCCUGUCGUGCAGCAGGGAGGAGCAUACCAGGUACAUUGGACCUUGGACCUAUUAUUGGGUGUAGAAAGAUGAAAGAAAUCUGCUCAAUUGAUGGGUGCACGGAGUUAUGCGCCUCCCUUGGUUGGGAUAUUUACAAAUGCAUUUGCAAAGAUAGUUCCCAUUGCUGCCACUAUGCGGCCGGUGGAAUAAUUUAAUUAAAUUGAUUGUAUUAUCUUCAUUUUAAGGAAUAAGAUGUUCUCGACUUA